AUGCUAAAAAUUAUUACUCCAACAAUUAUACUGUUACCAAUGAUAUGAUUCUCUAAAAAUUAUAUAAUCUGAAUCAACAUGGUUAUCCACAGCCUGCUCAUCAGCCUUAUCAGCCUACUAUUUUUUAACCAAUUGAACGAUAACUCAUCCAACUUCUCAUUAAUCUUUUCUGACCUGCUGACAUCACCCCUUCUAAUCUUAACAGUCUGACUACUGCCUCUUAUAAUUCUAGCAAGCCAAUACCACCUGUCCAAUGAAUCACCCCCAUGAAAAAAUUCUAUAUUUCGAUAUUGAUUUCUCUACAGACUUUUUUAAUCAUAGCAUUCACUGCCACAGACUAAUCAUAUUUUAUAUCCUCUUUGAAGCCACACUAGUUCCCACCCUAAUUAUCACCACCCACUGAGGCAACCAACCAGAACGCCUCAAUGCAAGAUCACACUUCUUAUUUUACACACUAGUAGGAUCCCUUCCUUUAUUUGUAACAUUUGUUUAUACUCCAAAUACCUCAGGUUCACUAAAUAUGCUAGUAAUAAUAUUUACUAUCCAAGAGCUAUUAACCUCCUGAUCCAAUAAUCUUGUAUCACUAGCAUGUAUCAUGGCCUUCAUAGUAAAAAUACCUCUAUAUGGACUUCACCUAUGACUCCCCAGAGCCCAUGUAGAAUCCCCUAUUGCCAACUCAAUAGUACUUGCAGCAGUACUCCUAAAGCUAGGCGGUUACCGUAUAAUAUGGCUUACUCUUAACCUCAACCCCCAACAGAACAUAUAGCCUACCCUUUCCUCAUGUUGUCCCUAUGAGGAAUAGUUAUGACAAACUCUAUUUGUCUACGACAAACAGAUCUAAAAUCACUUAUUGCCUACUUCUCCAUAAGCCACAUAACACUUGUUAUUAUGGCUAUCCUCAUUCAGACCCCUUGAAGCUUUAUAGAUGCGAUCAUCCUUAUAAUUGCUCAUGGACUCACUUCAUCCUUACUCUUCUGCCUAGCAAAUUCAAACUACGAGCAAGUCCAUAGCCAAACCAUAUUUCUUACCUGAGGCCUUCAAACACUGCUCCCGCUAAUAGCCUCUUGAUGACUUCUAGCAAAUCUUACUAGCCUUGCCUUACCCCCUACCAUUAAUCUAGUAGAAGAACUCUUUGUGACUAUGGCCUUAUUCUCCUGAUCAAAUAUCACUAUUAUGCUUAUACGACUUAAUAUACUAAUUACAGCCCUUUACUCCCUGUAUAUGCUAAUCACAACACGAGGGACACUUGCAUAUUAUAUUAACAGUAUUAAACCUUCCUUUACAUGAGAAAACACAUUAAUACUUAUACAUCUUGCACCUAUCUUCCUAUUAUCCUUAAACCCUAAAAUUAUUAUGUGGUUU
rnacentral:lncRNA from 1 species